rnacentral:sRNA from 1 species
ACUGCUAAUCUAUCACUGUUAAUCUAUCUACCACUGUCAAUCUAUCUAUCACUGUCAAUCUAUCUACUACUAUUAAUCUAUCUAUCACUGCUAAUCUAUUGCUGCUAAUCUAUCACUGCUAAUCUA